UACAUCAUUCGGUAGGUGAGGUUACCACAGGGAUUGGGAUAUACCCGAAGAUUGCUGCCGCGAGAUCGUGGAGACACGAUAAGAUGGUCAGCAGGCUGUGUCGUGAAGGUGCAGCCUAAUGCAAUUGAUAUGCCCUGUGAUACUAAAGCUUGAACGAUGCAUCCCGGU
rfam:Lachnoclostridium sp. An298 An298_contig_16, whole genome shotgun sequence.